AACGAACGCUGGCGGCAUGCCUAACACAUGCAAGUCGAACGAGACCUUCCGGUCUAUUGGCGCUCGUGUGCGUAACGCGUGGGAACCUGCCCUUAGGUUCGGAAUAACUCCCCGAAAGGGGUGCUCAUACCGGAUAAUGUCUUACGCCCAAAGAUCUAUCGCCUUUGGAUGGGCCCGCGUUGGAUUAGCUAGUUGGUAGGGUAAAAGCCUACCAAGGCGACGAUCCAUAGCUGGUCUGAGAGGAUGAUCAGCCACACUGGGACUGAGACACGGCCCAGACUCCUACGGGAGGCAGCAGUGGGGAAUAUUGGAGAAGGGGCGAAAGCCUGAUCCAGCAAUGCCGCGUGAGUGAUGAAGGCCUUAGGGUUGUAAAGCUCUUUUACCCGGGAUGAUAAUGACAGUACCGGGAGAAUAAGCACCGGCUAACUCCGUG
rnacentral:rRNA from 1 species